GCAAGACUCUGUAUUUUUAUUAUAGACAGUGCUCAACAGCACUGACUUGCAGAGUUUUGAUAUAAAUCGAACAAUAUUGGUUGUUUUUGAAUAGGAGGGUAGAGAAUGUAUGUCCCGCCCAGCCUUCCUGAUCCUCAUGUAGUUGAGAUUACGUCAAACGCUGAAUAUAAUGGCACAUGUCAAAGCACUUUACAGGACGUUUAACAAAGCAAAAAGUAAAGACCUGAACCAGAACCCGUUUUCCUGUUUGCAAAUCUGACAUUUUUAUUCAUACAGUGAAAGUUAUUUGGUGUUUCUUGGUAAUAUUAUUGGGACCCAAAUGUUCUUCAAAGUAUCUUCCAUGUUUCACUGAAGAACAUGGUGAAAAUGUUCGUAGGAAAAGUUUGUUAUUAAUUUAGCCUUUAGUCCUAAUUUAAAUAAUUCACAUUCUCACACCUCUGCUUUGUGCUUUUUUUUCUUUCACUAGGGGGUUCUUCUAUCUGGAACACUGGUGUUGUGAUUGGAGCAUGUGUGUGUGGACUGUUGGUGAUUAUCAUGAUCACCAGCGUUGCAUGUUAUAUGAAAAAUCGAGGUCCUGGAUAUACUACUUGUGAUGCUGAAGUUUGAUUCUGGAAAUCCUUGCACCUCUCCUGGACGUCUCAUCUUUAUCAUGCCAUUAUUAUGUCAUGGUUAUACCUACAUUUAUAUAGCAUUGGCUGUAUUAUUCGGUUUGUGUUAGCCGCUUUUAGAACCUCAGGACUUUAUAAUCUUAGGAUUCAUUUCUCUUUUUUUAUUAAAGGAAUCAUGACUUGAUCAUUGAAGCUGCAUAAUGAAAUAAUGAUAUGAAUUAGUUUUAUAUUUUGGAAGUAUUUAUUGAUAUAUAAAGAUUAUACACAUGCACUCUCAUAUGAGGAGCACAAAUGUAAAUAAUCUGUAUUGAAAAUAUUUAUCAUGAAAAUGAAUAUAGCGUCUGUUGUGCAAACAGAUGGUUGCAUAAAAUGAUAUAUUUAAAAACAAAAAUAACUAAACUCUAUAUUAUAAUACUUACAUUAAAUAUAACAUAUUAAAUUAUAUUCCAAUGCAGGGAUUCUCAACCGGUGGGCCUCAGCGAUCCUGUAGGUGGGCUGCAAGAUAGCUUAAAAUUAACUUAAAUAUUAUAACAUAAUUAUUUGAAUUCAUUAUUGAAAAAGUCAUAUUAACAUGAUCGAAGUAAUGGCAUUUCCCGUUUUCUGUGAUUGAAUAGGCCAAUUCGAACUUUGUGCAAAAACAGCCUCACUGUACAGUCUUGCGGCUUUAACUUCCAACCACAGUCAAAUAAGACUACGUUCUCAGUUGUGUAAAUCAAAGAGUCACGCAAAAUGUAAAGGUAACGUUAACGAUGAUUAAGGUUUUAAUAACCAGCUUACUUGUGCCCCACAAGUCAGUUGAUUCACAAACUAUGCGUGCUCUCUUUGUGGGAACGCUUUAAAAUAUCCAUAUAGUUGUGCAAAGUAAUGUCCCGCGAGUGUUUUAUAACAGACAUGCGCCCGUACAGGAGGAUCUAGCGAGACUUGGUGGUGUUUCAGUAGUGAACAGCUGUUCACUGUUCCUAUCAGCGAACUCCAAUAAUGCCCAGCUACAAACCAAACCGCCUUCAGAUUGAUGCCUUUCAAAGGAUUUAAGGGUUUUUACAUUUCUUUGUUUAUUUUAUUGGAUAUGAAUAGUAAAUCAAAAGAUGAAUAGUAGUCUGUCUAAUUCAAAGCAGAAACUGUUCAUUUGUUUGCCAUGUCCUGUCAGCUUCAUUUAUUACAGAAAAGCCCCAAAUACUCUGAAGUUCUAAAAAAAAAUAACUGAAGUAAAGGAUUCAGGAGCUUUGAACGUGUCUGUGCAUUUUUUUUUUUAUAUAAAAAAAAAUAUAUAUGAUUAUAUUUUAUACUAUAUUUAAAUGUAUAUAUUUAUAUUGUUUCAUUUUUUUCAAUAAAAUGAUCUAAAAAAAAUACCAUAAUAGAAGGCAAAAGAAACAUUUUGCUAAUAGAUUAACCUUUAAAAUUAGCAUUUUCUCUAGACAACCAGUUUGGGCCUUCAAAAAAAACUUUCGCAGAAGGAGAUGGGCCUUAAAGUGAAAAAGGUUGAGAACCCCUGCUCUAAUGUAACUUAUAUAUUAACAUAAAUGAAAAAUACAUUCUAUGUUUUAUUAUGAUUAUAUCUAUCACUGGUCAUGUCAUUUUUUUAGGAAUGAAGUAUGAUGAAUUGUAUGUCACCGUAGUGAAAGUUAAAUAGAUUAUAAGGGCAAGUAUUUCUGUAGUCGCUGCUGUGGAAGCAAAAUGAAAUGAAAUGCUGUGCCAGUGAGUACACAUGUCUAAUGCAGCACUAGGUAAAUCCACUCAGCUUCAGAUUUAGUGGUGUAAAAAAAGUGAUUUGUAUUCAUGUGUUUAUUCAUAACUUUGUGGUAAGUGAAACCAUUUAAUCAGAUUUGUAUGAUGCUAAUGGUCUGUAGUUUGCUUAUACAUACCUGUGCUCACAAUCAAUCUUUUCCUCAUGCUUUCCUGGUCAUGCAUUUUAUUCUUCUAUGUCAAAAUUAAGCUAUAAAAAGUGUGUUUGUUGGAUGGGUUGAAGAAAAAUAUUUAAAUAUCUGUUUAAAGUUUUAAAUAUGCUUAGCUUUUGUAUUGUGCAGCAUCAAUAUACAGUUUGUAUCUGCUUUUUUAAACCAUACUUUUGUUAUCCAGGUGAGAAAUCUUUUUAUGUAAGAAAUCUACAAAUAAAAUGCUAAAAGAAAA